rnacentral:rRNA from 1 species
GACGAACGCUGGCGGCGUGCUUAACACAUGCAAGUCGUACGGUAAGGCCCUUUCGGGGGUACACGAGUGGCGAACGGGGGAGUAACACGUGAGUAACCUGCCCACAACUUUGGGAUAACGCUAGGAAACUGGUGCUAAUACUGGAUAUGUGCCCCUGCUGCAUGGUGGGGGUUGGAAAGCUCCGGCGGUUGUGGAUGGACUCGCGGCCUAUCAGCUUGUUGGUGGGGUAGUGGCCUACCAAGGCGGCGAGGGGUAGCUGGCCUGAGAGGGUGACCGGCCACAUUGGGACUGAGAUACGGCACAGACUCCUACGGGAGGCAGCAGGGGGGAAUAUUGCACAAUGGGCGCAAGCCUGAUGCAGCAACGCCGCGUGCGGGAUGACGGCCUUCGGGUUGUAAACCGCUUUCAGCAGGGACGAAGCUUUUUGUGACGGUACCUGCAGAAGAAGCACCGGCUAACUACGUG